UACGUAGGGGGCAAGCGUUGUCCGGAAUCAUUGGGCGUAAAGCGCGUGUAGGCGGUUCGAUAAGUCUGCUGUGAAAGUCCAGGGCUCAACCCUGGGAUGCCGGUGGAUACUGUCGGGCUAGAGUGCGGAAGAGGCGAGUGGAAUUCCCGGUGUAGCGGUGAAAUGCGCAGAUAUCAGGAGGAACACCAGUGGCGAAGGCGGUGCUCUGGGCCGGUACUGACGCUGAGGAGCGAAAGCGUGGGGAGCAAACAGG
rnacentral:rRNA from 1 species